AUACUUACCUGGCAGAGGGGACACCAUGAUCAGGCAGGUGGUUUUCCCAGGGUGAGGCUCAUCCUUUGCACUCUGGGUGUGCUGACCUCUGUGAUUUUCCCAAAUGCCGGAAACUCAACUGCAUAAUUAGUGGUAGUGGGGGAUUUUAUAUAUAUAUAUAUAUAUA